ensembl:lncRNA
UAUGCAGCUAAAAUAAAGAUGGAUAAAACCUAAGUAGAAUAAUAAUCAAAGUUCAGUGAUGGAGGUUUUUAGUUUUCCCUUCUUUGUUUGUUUUUUUUUUUUUUUUAACCUCAGUGCUGGAAGCACUUUCUGACAUGUCAAACCAAACAAAACAGCAAAGUAAUUAUUCAUCGAAUCUUAGAGGCUCAGCAGCAUGAGACACACUCCAGCCGAUUCUUGGUGAAAAAAUAUAUUUAAGUCAAGCUUGUGUUUCCAUCUGGUCCAAAAAUUAUAAAACUACAAAAAUCUAAAUAUAUAUGCAUUUAAUUUUUUCUGUUCAGUAACUCUGUGAACAUCCAUCAGUGAUAUGAGUGUCUCUGUGAUGCUGUGAGAAUACAGCAGUGCGAGUCAGGUUAUUUUGUAUUAAUGGUGUAAAUUUGUAAAGCAGGAGCAGCUCCUGUAACACACAGGUGCUGUCAUGUCGAGUUAGUUUGUCACAAACCGUUUUUGUGGAUUUGGUGUUUAAAACAGCAAAAGGACAAAAGAUGGGAAUUUAGAUCAACCACAGUGAUGAUACUCAUGAAGAAGCAAGACAGCAGAGUGUCAGUGUGGCACCGACUCAUUUUGUCAGAAUAGGUGUUUUAUGUGUGUUUGGACAUGAACGUUUAAGCUCUUAAAUGUGUUUAAAAAACACAUUUUAAAUGAUCCUAUAGGAUACAUGUUAACAAAUAAGAAAAUCUUUUUCUCAAAACAUCAUUUUAGUGUUUAUUCAGAGUAGACAGUAACACCAGCAGAAUCACGGUCGUCUGUCUCUGUGAAGAUUCAUGUUUCCACAUUUUUAGCAUCACGGGUCUUCUAUCAGUUUUGCUGCAGCUGUAUUGUUGUGAUGAACCUAUAAAGUGUAAAGAGAAAUAAAAAAAUGUAAACGAAUUGCCACAUAUUCUCUGUUCUCGUCAGUGCUGUUCCAGAUUAAAUGCUGUUGUUCGACAUUAUAAAAGCUGUGCUGAUGGUGUUUUACCUCUGUGGCAUUUCCAGCAUGAGUAGCAUUAUUUGGAUGAAGAUGCAAGGUCUUGUUCUGAAAUGUGUUGGAUUACAUUAGUUACAGAUCUUUAAACUCAAUUAAUGAAAUAUGACUUGCUCAAAUAAUUUUAUACAUCAUUGACGUGUAUGAACAGAUUUAAAGAUAAGGCAGUGCUAAUUAAAAUUGUUCUCCAUUUUUUAAAGUCAUGUUCCUGUACAGCUCUGUUGCUCCAGGCAGUCGGGUUGAGCAGUUGCACAGAUCUUUUUUUUUUAAAAAAAAAACCUAUCAGCUCAUCUGUGGCUGGGACUGUCAGCUUUAUUGUUCUUAUGUUUUUCUCUGAGUGACACUACACUGAUAGUAAAAACUAUUCAAAUGGGGUUUUUUGACUGACCAAAAACCAAUCUUUUUGCAACAAAAACUUUACAGAGUCUAGAAACUGUAGCUCGACUCGUGCUGGCUGUAGCUCAGGAGAUAGAGCAGGUCAUCGGCUAAUUGAGAGUGGAUUGAGAGUCUAUCUUAGCUGUCAUUAAGCAAAGGGCAGAGUACACUCUCAAGACAUCAUCAGCCUGUCACAGACAACCAUUCAUGCUAACAUUCACACCUACGGCCAAAUCCAUCCAUCCAUCCUCAUCCGCUUUAUCCGAGAUCGGGUCGCGGGGCAGCAGCCUAAGCAGAGAAGCCCAGACCUCCCUCUCCCCAGCCACCUCCUCCAGCUCAUCCGGGGAACACCAAGGCGUUCCCAGACCAGCCGAGAGAUAUAAUCUCUCCAGCGCGUCCUGGGUCUGCCCUGGG